rfam:Lunatimonas lonarensis strain AK24 S14_contig_85, whole genome shotgun sequence.
UUUGCCGUGAGGCAUGCACUGAAGGCAGCGAGACUGCAAACCCCGGUUCCAACGAACAGGAACUGGAUACUGAGGCCUGGCAGGUCGGAUGAGGUAACACAACAUACUGACGUCCAAAGGGUGGGAAACCACCAAGUACCUGUCCGGUAGAUCCAGUGGAUAUUGGGGGAAGGAAUAUGCC